GCCUGAUUGGCUCAGUUGGUGGAGCAUGGGACUCUUGAUCUCACAGUGUGAGUUCGAGUCCCACAUUGGGCA
rfam:Canis lupus familiaris chromosome 34, whole genome shotgun sequence.